GACGAACGCUGGCGGCGUGCUUAACACAUGCAAGUCGAACGGAAAGGCCCUGCUUUUGUGGGGUGCUCGAGUGGCGAACGGGUGAGUAACACGUGAGUAACCUGCCCUUGACUUUGGGAUAACUUCAGGAAACUGGGGCUAAUACCGGAUAGGAGCUCCUGCUGCAUGGUGGGGGUUGGAAAGUUUCGGCGGUUGGGGAUGGACUCGCGGCUUAUCAGCUUGUUGGUGGGGUAGUGGCUUACCAAGGCUUUGACGGGUAGCCGGCCUGAGAGGGUGACCGGCCACAUUGGGACUGAGCUACGGCCCAGACUCCUACGGGAGGCAGAAGUGGGGAAUAUUGCACAAUGGGCGGAAGCCUGAUGCAGCAACGCCGCGUGCGGGAUGACGGCCUUCGGGUUGUAAACCGCUUUCGCCUGUGACGAAGCGUGAGUGACGGUAAUGGGUAAAGAAGCACCGGCUAACUACGUG
rnacentral:rRNA from 1 species